rnacentral:misc_RNA from 1 species
AAGUCGUAACAAGGUUUCCGUAGGUGAACCUGCGGAAGGAUCAUUAACACGUGAAAACGUAUUAACAAUCUUUACCUUUUUAACAAUCCGUGAAUUGACAUCCCUAUUCAUUUAAUACUGUUCUAUGUAAUAUGUAGUAGGAUAUAAUUGUAAAAGAUUAUAUGCAAUUAUAUAGAUACUGAGGCUUCGAGCCUAAUGUAUUUUUGUUUAGGCUCUUUUUUUUUUCCCCUACUACUAAAAAACAAAAACCAACCUAUUUCACCAAUUUUAACACAUUUUCGACUGAUGUACGUUGAAGAAUAUAGAAAUAUAUUGGAUCAACACCAUUUAUCUAAAUCUAAGCACAACUCUUAGCAAUGGAUAUCUUGGUUCUC